GAUCGGCGUGGUAGUUGUAUAUUCUUUGCUCAGCACAAGCGGAUUUGAAGACUGACAGAGAAGUAGUGAGAGGCCAGUCCCAGUUCUUCUGAUCUCCAAGUCCUGUUUAAAUGCCAAAGCAGAAAGUAUCGAUUAUCUGUCUGCAACAAUCAAGUGGGCAAGAAACUGUCGCUCCUCAAUGAAAGAAUAGGAAUUGUUUCCUUCUAGUUGUAUAUGAAGUCCUUAUGGUUGCUUUGUAUGAAGUAGGAGUAGUCCAUGAAAGUGUCUUACCUUCAAAUUGCUGACUACUGAAGAAGCGGAAGUUCCUUGAAACUGGUCUCUAGCAUGUAGAGAGCGAUCUAUGAUCCAGAAGUGCUCAUAUAUCUCAUCUGCCAACCGUUUUCGAUCCUUUACAGCCU